rnacentral:rRNA from 1 species
AACGCGAAGAACCUUACCUACUCUUGACAUCCAGAGAACUUAGCAGAGAUGCUUUGGUGCCUUCGGGAACUCUGAGACAGGUGCUGCAUGGCUGUCGUCAGCUCGUGUUGUGAAAUGUUGGGUUAAGUCCCGCAACGAGCGCAACCCUUAUCCUUUGUUGCCAGCGGUCCGGCCGGGAACUCAAAGGAGACUGCCAGUGAUAAACUGGAGGAAGGUGGGGAUGACGUCAAGUCAUCAUGGCCCUUACGACCAGGGCUACACACGUGCUACAAUGGCAUAUACAAAGAGAAGCGACCUCGCGAGAGCAAGCGGACCUCAUAAAGUAUGUCGUAGUCCGGAUUGGAGUCUGCAACUCGACUCCAUGAAGUCGGAAUCGCUAGUAAUCGUGGAUCAGAAUGCCACGGUGAAUACGUUCCCGGGUCUUGUACACACCG